GAUGAACGCUGGCGGCGUGCUUAACACAUGCAAGUCGAGCGAGAAGUUUUGACUAGAUUCUUCGGAUGAAAUUUAAAAUGGAAAGCGGCGGACUGGGGGGUAACGCGUAGGCAACCUGCCACAUACAAAGGGCUAGCAUUAGGAAACGAAUAUUAAUACCUUAUGAUACUUAACUAGUGCAUGCUAGGUAGGUCAAAGAUUUAUCGGUGUGGGAUGGGCCUGCGUCUGAUUAGCUAGUUGGUUAGGUAACGGCCCACCAAUUCGACGAUCAGUGGCCGGACUGGGUGAGUGGCCAGACUCGUUGGAACAGACGCACCGGCCAACUACCGGCGGGAGGCGGCAGUGGUGUAGAUUGCUCAGUGGGGGCAACCCGGAUGCAGCCACGCCGCGUGAUCGAGGAAGGCCGUUUGGACGUAACGUUCUGUUCUAAGGGAUGGAAACUGACAGUAACCGAUGAGAAAGCCCCGGCUAACUCCGUG
rnacentral:rRNA from 1 species